CUCUCUCUCUCUCUCUCUCUCUCUCUCUCUCUAUAUAUAUAUAUAUAUAUAUAGAUGGUUCAAGCAUUUUUGAUGUGAUGAGAUUCAAUGUCUUCAACCAUGUGAAGGAAAAAGUUGAGCAAGGUUCCUGGAUGUGGGGUAUCUUCCUUCAGCUUCUCAUAGUCGAGAGUCCAUGUAAUCAAACUUUCUUUGUCACCAAGAACAUCAACAUGGUAUAUGAUAGUGAAGGUCUUGUACAGCUCCAUGAGAUCUCCUUCAAUCAUCUUAAAUACGAUUGAUUUCUUUUCUUCAUUUAUGUCCUGAAUAAUCUCCUUUGCCACCCUAUCUUUCCCGUCUGUAAAAAUGAAAAUUAAAUCGAUUACAGACUCUCCAAUUCCUAGUCAACAUGCUGGUAAUCCAAAAACAAGGUUUGCGGAAUUCUUUCUUUUUGUUUUUUUGCGCAAAAAAGUAUGUUUUGAUUAGGAUAGACUAUACCAUUUACACAACCAGGGAAGUAUUCUCGUUGUGAAACACCAGGUAUAUAGCAAAAGAAAAAAAAUCAGUAGUAUUUAUUAAUUGAAUUCUUUACGAAGAUGGACUUCCUUAAUUAACCUUUGUUGUUUCCACAAUCAGAUUAUUGUCUUUGUAUAAAUACUAAUGAUAAUAUUAAUAAUAAGGUUAACGUAAUAGAUCUAGUCCGUUUUUCAUUAAAACUUUUCCCGAGGCAGAUAUUAAGCUUUUAUCCUUUCUUUUUCUGGCAAAUAAGUUAGAUAACUAGUUGUAUGCCAGUUCAAAGCAGGUAAAAACAGAUGGAGAGAGUUUAAAUCAACUUAGUCCAGAAGCUGACUAACAUGCAACAAAAGCUAAAUGAAUAAAGGAAAAACAAGAAAAACUGCGAGAGAAGAAAGAGCCAAAAUAAGGAACUUGAAUAUUGAUUUCAUACCAUGGGUAUAAUGCCAGCAGAUUUUGGAUCCAACAGUUCCAAGAUCACCACCAAGCAAAGUAAACCCUUGAACUUUCUCAGGAGUUAUGGUGGCAAGAUCAUGUGGUCUUUUGCUUAAGACAUCGUGGAACACAUCUCCUGCAGGGCCAUGGAUGUUAGUUGACCAAUCAUUUUACCUUUGAGCCCCAUUUUUUUUCUGAGAAACUGAGAAGGAAAUGACCAAAUACUGCUGCAGCAAAAAAAUGCAAAGAAAUAUGGUCUACUAGACUAUCCCUUUGCUCCUUAUAUAGUAUAGAACUGAUGGGUGACUUCACCCCCCACCUCCACCCCCACCCUUUCUUUUUUUCAAUUGGGGUCUAUAAACCACGUAAGAGGAACCAAUUAUCUUCGCUAGCAACUAUCUUUUUUUUCCCUAGUUCUGCCAUUGUUACAAAGUUUUUUUUUUUAAUUCAUGAGAUGUUGUAUUGGUAAAUCAGCCCUAAUAAAUGAUACUCAGCAUCUAUUAAAAUGUGAUUAUCCUCAUUGUCUAUUAAUCUAUAAUCAUAUUACAUCUAUAGUUUUGCACUUAGGGUCAACAGACUCGACGCCAUUCAUUUUUUUAAUGCCUACAACUAAGGUUUUCUUGUGGGCAACUUAAAUUUUAUUUUGAUCGAUAUUUCUUAGUCUCAUUUUUGCUUUACGACAAGAACAUUGGAUAAAAUAAGGGCCAUCCUUAACAAAUUAUUUUGGAGAGAUCUACUUCUCGUGUCCAUGGCAAAAAUGACUCUCCAAUAAUGACUCUUAGAAGUUAGUUGACACAAUAAAUGAUAUAAAUUCAUGAGUUUUGGACAGCUGGUAAGUAGACUGUUAAUGUCAAUAAGAGAUCGCAAGUUCGACUCCUGUACGUGACACCUUGAAAAACUCUGGUAAGAUGGUCACCCCCAAAUAAAAGUUGGACUUUAUGGAUGCUCCUUGGACCGAAUCCGGGUUAGACUCACUAAGAGUGGGGAUAUCAGGUGCUCAAAACAAAAUAAAUAAAGGGUAAAAAAUAAAUAAGCCCCCUGUGGUAAACCUAAUAUACAGAAAAACCUCCCAUGGUUUCAAAUUAUAUAACACGACCCCUCUAAAUUGUAAAGAUGACGGAAUCCGUUAAACUUAACGGAAAUAGACAAAAUGACCAAAAUGCCGUGAUAUAAUUAAGCCAAAGACAGCUCAAAAAAAUCAUUUGUUUUAUUCUCUAAAUAGAGAGAAUUGAGGGUUAAGGGGUAGAAUAGGUAUAUUUGAUAAAAAUUAGGUAUAAAUUUUUUUUUAGGUUUCAAUAAGUCAUUUCCGUUAAGUUUAACAGAUUCCGUCACCUUUACAAUUUAGCUCAAAGUAUGAGGUGCCGUAUUGUAUAUUUUGAAACCAUAGGGGGCUUUUCUGUGUAUUAGACUUACCACAGGGGGUUUUUUUGUUUUUUACCCAUAAAUAAAUGAUAUCCUCUUCUUACAUGGUUUUUGGUAGGUGGCAUACUAUUACCAAAUGGGAAAUAAAUGGAUAAGUUAAGGCCUUAUCUGAAUUACAGUUUUCUAAAGAAAAUUUUUGACGUUUUACAUAAACACAUUUAUGAAUCAUAUUUUAAUUUCACAUAUAUCAAAUUGUUGUAGCAUAUUUUUUUUGAGAAAAAAGUUUUGACGGCUCUCCAACUCUUUUUCAAGUUAAGUUUUGGCCCUUCAACAAUUAACAGUAAAGUUUUGGUUCUCGAUCUAAUAAAAGAGUAUAUUUGUGGCCCUUCUGUCAAAUCCAGAUAGUAUAGGGAUGGGCAAAAAAACCUGUUGAACCGAAAAUUCAGCGAACUCGAUGCAAUGCGAUCCGAUUUUUCUUAGCAGGGCAAAUAAGGGUCGGGUACCCGUGAAAAAUGGAUACGGAUACAGAUCAGAAAAAUAAAAACUCGUGGGUACCUGAUCCGCAGGGUAUAUUAUAUAAAUAUUAAAAAAUUAGAAAUCAUUUUAUAAUUUUAUAAUUUUUAAUCCUAAAUGUAAAUGAAGUGCCUCACAGCCUUAUAUUCUAAUAUCAUAUGAUCUGCCUCUCCUCAUAUUGUUUGAACAAAGCAAAUAUUCUCGGUGAAACCUAAAUCAAAUGAACAAAAUGAAGAAAAAUUUGUGAAAAUCUAUCAUAAAAAUUGCUCAUCCCUUUGAUUCUUUUCAUUUUUAGUCUACCUCCAUUGAUCUUUCCUGCAAAUUUUUUAUCAAUUCAAUCAAAGAUUUGUGUUUGGAGUUCUAAUUUUCUAUUAGCUAGAUGAUUAAAACAUUUGUGUCUUUCAUUUAUUUAUUUGAUUUAUUUUAUUGUAAUUAUGUCUCUUAAAUUUGUCUCUUUUAUUUUAGUGCAAGAAAGUUAUUUUUCUUUUUUAUCACCUUUAAUGCCAUAAGGUUUAUUCCAAAGAUGUAAGGAAAUUGGGAAGGAUUUUUCAAACUUGUUACUAAAAAGUGUAAAAUGAUCUCAAUUAAUUAAGCAAUGCAUCACUCAUGAUUUCAAUUUGAAGUUGAAAUUCCAAUGCAUCACUCACUAAGCAAUACAUAGUUGAAAUUUGAAGUUGGCUACAAUGAAUUACUUUCACUCAAUUAUCACACACACACAAAGAGAUAAUCAAGUAUAUGCUGGCUAUUAGAUAAAAAUUAAUUAGUUGGGCUGGCUGCCUUUGAUGACUAUCAAUAGAAGAUACACUAUCAUUGGAUACGCUCCCGCAAGCUGAAGUCAAGUCAGUCACAAUAAAAAAGAAGCCCGUCCCUAAAGUUUUAAUCAAAAUACAUUUCAUCCUUAUAGUUCUAUAGUUUUGAUCAAUUUCAUCCCUAAAAUUUCAUGUGAACAUAUUUUAUCCUCAUAGUUUCAUAAAAUUGACCAAUUGAGGACAAUUGAAUGAUUGUUAACCAAUUUGGACCAAGUAUCAUACAUAACUAGCAUGUCCCAUUGAUAAUUGUAUCAAUACUUAAUUCGAUUAUUGAUUAAAUUAUAUAAAUAACAAUGAGUGUGUUCGGAUAAAAGAUUAUUAUUUUUAAAUAUGUGAUAUAAUAUAUAUGAAAUAAAAAAAUAAAUUAGAUGAUAGACAGACAAUUUGAAAACGUGAAUAUAAUGCGACAAAACAAAAUUUUAGAAACAAAUGGCAAUCUAAACAGUUCUUUCUUUCACGUUAAUAUUUUUCUUCAUUUGAUUGCAAUGUAAUUGUUUGAAAGAUUUAUCCAAUUGGCUAUAAUGGAGUUAUUUCUUCUCCAUGACUUUAUUUCCUCUCAAUCUUUUUGUUCUAUUUGUGAUUAAGAAGAGAAUAAUGGUGGUUGAAAAUUUCUUAGUUUUUUUUAAAUAAAAAAGUGAAUUCAAAAAUAGUUUUUGAGGUUUUUUGUUGAUCCAACAUUUUCUGAAUUUUACUAACAUGCAUGUUGUGGUCAAGUGAUGAUAUUCCAUUCAAAUUGCUUGGCAAUCAAUCAAUUAUCCUUAAUUAGUCAAAUUUAUGAACUUAUGAGAAUGAAAUGUGUUUACAUGAAACGUUAAGAAUGAAAUUGGUCAAAAUUAUAAAAUUGUAAUGAUAAAAUGUGUUUUGACUGAAAUUUUGGGGACGAAAUUGCCUAACACCUCAAACAAUGAGGACGAAAAGUGCAUUUUUCCCUAAAAAUAAAAUGAACCUUCAUCCUUCCCCUUAUGUUUUUGGGCUACAGUCCUUUUUUGUUAUUACUGUGUUGAUAUUCAAGAUAACCGAACGUAUAUAGCUAGACAUGUUCCUUUUGAGGAAUCUAAGUUUUCCCCAUUCCUUGGUCCUUCUAUACUUGGUCCACCACCACGUAAAAAACAAACCAAUUCAAUCCACCUUGACUUGUUCUACCAAUUCAUGUUUUCAAAUUCAAUGGAUCCUACAUACAUUUUUAUCACAAACCGACUACUACUCUAACCCUUCUUGUCAAAGUCAAAUGAACUGACCCUAUGGUACUUCGUCACGUAACCAUCCAGAACAAAAACAAUACUACUUUAGCAAAACUUAUCUCUAAACCUUCUGUGGAGUCAUCUGAACUUAUCUCUAAAUUGAAAUAUGAAGUUAGCUGACAAUAAAUUACUUUCACUCAAUUAUUACUUAACAAAAUAAGUACAGUAUAUUGAAAAUCAAGAUGAGAAUGUGGGGUUGGGACAUCUACAUUUGCUUUCUGGUAUAGAGUCCAUUUCACCAUGUUCACAUCACCUUGGACAGUUGCCUGGAGAGUGGCUUUUACCAAAACACAGGUCUAAUUUUAAUUGAAAAAAAAAGUAAAUAUCAAAAUGGUGGAAUUAAAACAAGCAUGUAUAAGCUGGAAUCCAUCAACAAAAUUUAAAAAAAAAUGAAUAAAGAGAUUAAUUGGUUAAACUCACAUAGUAAUUUUCAAGGCCAUAAAACCAUGUUCAUCCUAGAUGGAGUCUGAUCAUUAAUCAUUUGGAGUACAAGACAGGCCAGUAUAAUUUCUUAUGUUUGGAUAGACUAGAUCUAUGUAGAUCACGUGAUUCAAAUUUUAUCAUACAAUCUCAGCAACUCAAGAAUUGAUGGUAUAGAAAAUUGUACCACAAGAUCAAGUCUAUCCAACUUUUUACCUCCUCGGUAAACUAUCAUUACUUAGUUUUAUGAGUAUCUUUUCCUUGCCAAGAAAACUAAUGAAAUGACUGAUUCUUUUUUUUUUUUUGGGUGUAAAGGCAACCACUUGAGUGAUUUCAGGAGAGACAAUGAUGACUUUAAGCUAUCAAAGUUUACUUUGCAGUAAAAAUGUAUGGCUCCAAAAAUUUUCUCACAGUCUUGUUAAAAGCUAUCAUAUAUAUGUCUGCUUUUAAUCCUACAGAUUAAUUACUGAGUAAUAGCUUUCUUGGCCCAUGACAAUAGGAACCGUCCGUCUUAGUGUCACAUAAUGCAGAUUCGUAAAACUUUAGCCCGACACCUAAGGGAGAUUCGCACUGAUAUUUCUAAGCUUAGGUAGGACCAAUAGGAGCCAAAAGAUGCCUCAGGCGCAUCAAAACUCGGUUUGGACCCCACCAAUUUACGCUAGAGCCCGUUGUGCAUUACAUCCAUGGGAGUUCGCCUUCCCCACCACAAUUUACAAGGACAGGACAGGAGCACCAAAAUUGGUCUUGUGUUUCGGCCCCAUCUCUCUACAGUAGAGUAGAAAGUCUUGUACGUGUAUCCAUGGGCCUGGUCCCGGGCCUUCCCUUCCCCACCACUAAUUAUACGAGAUUGGACAGCGACCACCGUAUAAAAUUUUUGUCCAUUGCUGAUUUUGGAGUUUCUGAAUAAAAAUGUAUUAUUAUAGUGAUUGGAUGCAUGCAAAAAGAUGGUUAGAAAAUUUGUUUACGGAAAAAAUAUAAUCUUUUUUUUUGGAAAAAUUACUUUUCAAAUGAUGCCUAGAGUCGGGUACAAACUACCCUCAAGGCAUACAAACUACCAAUCACAACUAUUAGAUUUAAGCCAUGCUUUUAUCUAUUGUCUGAGAGUAGUAAUUCUUAGGCCCUGUUUGGAAUCAAGUUUUUUGGCCAAGUUUUUUAGCUACUAGUUUUUUAACAACUUUAGCUACAGGAACCCAAAAAAACUUAUCAAAUUUUUUAACCUACACACUUUAAAAUAUCUAAUACACAAAAAACUUUCCAUUUUCUUCUUCUUUCUCCCCCACCCCUAUCCACCACACCUCCGCUGCCGGCCACCACCACCUCCACCGCUGUUUCCGGCGCCGGCCUACCCCUUUUUUUUCCUUCUCCCUCUCCCUCUCCCGGCCUCUCCCCCUCCCCCUCUCUUUCCCUCCCCUCCCCUCCCUGGCCACCCUCCCGCUUCCUCUCUGGUCGCACGCUACCACGAAAGACCGAAUUGGGCAAAAGGCUUCCGCUUCCUCUCUGGUCGCACGCUAUGCGAUCUGGUCGAACGAUCGAAUUGGGCAAAAAGGGAGGGGGGAAGGGGAGGGGAGGAGAGGGGGAGAGGGAGAUGGAGGAGAGGGGGAGAGAAAAAGCAAAAAAAAAAAUUGUAUUCUGCCAUGGCUGCUGGUUCUCCGCUUCGGGAGGGAGAGGGGGAUGGUGAAGGGGAGUAGAGGGGGAUAGGGGAGUAGAGGGGGAUAGGGGAGCAGAGAAGGAGAAGAGGGGAAGAAAAAAUGAAAAAAAAAAAUUGGGGAGAGGGGCUGUUGGUCGUCUGGUACCGCGAGGGAAGAGGGAGGGGGAAGGAAGGAAGAAGAAGAAGAAGAGGAGAGGAGAGAAAAGAAAAAGGAAAGAAAGAAAGAAAAAGAAAAAGAGAGAGAAAAAGAAAGAAAAGAAAAAAAAUGGAAGGGCCAUGGCUGCUGGGACUGAGAAGGCAGAGGUAACGGGGGAGGGAAGGGGGAGGGAGAAGGAAGAAGAAGAAGAAGAGAAAAAAGAAAAGAAAAAGGAAAGAAAGAAAAAGAAAGAGAAAGAGAAAGAAAAAAAAAGGAAAAAAAGUUUUUCGCUUUAAAAAAAUUUCUACAAAAAAGUUUUUCACCUUACAAAAACUUCUACAAUUUUUUCAAAAACUUCUACAGUGCACUACAGUAAAGUUUUAGACAAACUCCUAAAAAACUUAGGUUCCAAACAGGCCCUUAAUUUCAGCAUUAGUAGCAAAUGUAAAAACGAUUCCGCAGGUUAUACUUUGUGUGUUUGAAACACUUCUCUCUAAAACUCUUUCUCUCUCCCUUUUCUCUCUAAAACUCUUCCAAUCAAGAUCUUCUUCAUCUCUUUCACGGGAAAGAGAUCAAAUCUGAUUUUUUACCUCUGGGAGGAAGUACUCUUUAUACUUUUUAGUUUCUCUUGUUUAAAUAAAGGGAGAAUUGUAAUUUCAUCCAAUUUUGUAACGGAAUCCUAAUUGCGUGCAAUCACUUGCCUAGAUGUAGGAGCAUUUUAAAAUUUUUUUAACUCACAAAAUGCCGAUGACUUCCCUUUGGGAUUUCACUCCAAUUAUCCGAAAAUAAAAAAUAACCUGGGUUACACAAAGUCACAAACUUUCGUCGAUAUCCAUCUAAAGACUUUCGCCUCCGUCCUCUGCAGUUUGCUCACAUCCUUUCCAGGAAUCCCCUCUCUCUUCUCUCUGUCCUUUCCUUUUUCUUUUGUUUUCCCUUUCUAAAAGGACUCAAACUUCCUUUGCUCCGGUAAAUCCAUACAUGCUUUACCUUUUUCCCAGUUUUCCUUUUAUAGUCUUGGAUCUGCUUAGCUUUUCUGUUCCUUUUGUUUUUGAUACAAAUAUUGAGGCAAAUAAUAAGAGAAGCAAAAGACAAAUGUUUAUUGCUUUGUAAAACUCACACAACUUAUAACAUGAAAUUACUCUAUUUAUAGAGUUUAAAUCAACUCCACUAACUAUACCACUAACUCCACUCACUCCACUAGCAACUCCACUAGGUACUCCACUAAUCCCACUAGUUAUUCCACUAACUCCACUAAUUAGGUAGCAUAAACAAAUAUAAUUAAUUAACAACGGCAAAUAUUUCUAACAAUUCCUCCCUUAAACUGAAAGUUUAUCAAACAUUCAGUUUAAUAUGAUUUAUUAACUGCACAGACUCCAAGCAGCUUCCUUAAUUUCUGAAACGUGGAUAACUUCAAUGGCUUGGUCAUUAUAUCAGCAAUCUGAUCUUCACUUUUGCAGUAGAGAAAAUCAAUUAUUCCAUCCCUUGUGAGCUCCCUUAGAAAAUGAAACCUCACAUCUAUGUGUUUGGUUCUUUCAUGUAGAACUGGAUUUUUAGAGAGUUUGAUGGCAGAACUGUUGUCACAAUAAAUUGUAGUAGCUCCUUCUUGCUGAAAAUGCAACUCUUCAAGAAUAUUCCUUAACCAAAUUGCUUGACAGGCACAGGCGGUUGCAGCUACAUACUCAGCUUCAGUUGUUGAUAACGUAAUAAUUGGUUGCUUUUUUGAACACCAUGAAAUAGCUGCUGAACCCAUCAUGAACACAUAUCCAGACGUACUCUUUCUAUCAUCAGAAUCGCCUGCAUAGUCACUGUCAGUGAAACCAAACAAAUCUAAUUUUCCACCAUUCUUGUAAAAUAAUCCAUACUCAAUAGUUCCCUGCAAGUAUCGAAGAAUCCUCUUAGUAGCUAGAAGAUGUGUCUCCCUUGGAUUUUCCAUGUAUCUACUAAUAAGACUUACAGCAUGUAUAAUAUCAGGCCUAGUUGCUGUCAAAUACAUCAAACUUUCCACAAUUUGCUUGUAAAGGGUGCUAUCAACCCUCUUUCUCCUGGUUCUUUGAUGAGUUUUAAACCCACUUCAACUGGCGUACUAACAGAAUUACAAUUCGACAUUUGAAAUCUAUUCAGAAUUUUUUGCACAUAUUUUCUUUGAGAGACAAAAAUUCCAUCAGCAGAUUGCACCACUUCAAUACCCAAAAAAUAAUGCAUCUUUCCAAGAUCAGACAUAUCAAAUUCGGCCAUCAUAGAUUUCUUGAAUUUCUCAAACAUGGCACUAUCAUUCCCAGUAAAAAUAAGAUCAUCAACAUAUAAGCAAACAAUCAGCAAUUCCUCGCUUUGACAGUCACUGUGAUCAUUGGAGCAUGCUAAUGGAGAACUUCUUGAGAUCCAAAGAGUAUUGACAGAUUGUUGAAUCUGGAGUAGCAGAGCCAACAGCUGGAGAAAUAUUGUUAGAGGUGCAGAAAAUGGAGUUGGAAGCAUUGAAACUGAAAGAUUUUAAAGCCAAAAAUUAUCUUUUUCAAGCUAUUGAUCAGGCCAUUUUGGAGACAAUUCUUAGCUGGCUGCACAAAAUUGUCAGUGGCCAUCAUAAUUUACCAACACAAUUCUCACAACUCACUUUUGUUUUCACUCACAAGCCUAGCUCUAGUACCACUGAUACAAAUAUUGAGGCAAAUAAUAAGAGAAGCAAAGGACAAAUGUUUAUUGCUUUGUAAAACUCACACAACUUAUAACAUGAAAUUACUCUAUUUAUAGAGUUUAAAUCAAUUCCAGUAACUCCACUAACUAUGCCAAUAACUCCACUCACUCUACUAGCAACUCCACUAACUCCUCCACUAAUCCCACUAGUUGUUCCACUAACUCUACUAAUUAGGUAGCAUAAACAAAUAUAAUUAAUUAACAACGGUAAAUAUUUCUAACAGUUUUGGGUUUGAAGCGGAUGUAGCUUGAAUAUUAUACAGGAGGGGAAGGGAUCUGAGGUAUUUUUCCAUUUUUUGAGCCCGGAAUUAGGCCUCCAUGCGUGAUAUACUGUUUAUUUAUGGCUGCAGAGAUUUGUUUGUGAGUGAAACUGAUAUUUUUGUUCAUCCUUGAAAGUUUCUGAAUCUAAUGAUGUUUCCCAAAGGCAAAGUUAUACUUGGAUUUUGAUUUUGAUUUUAAAAUUUUGUGGUAGCUUGUCUAUUUAAGGUUAUGAAAAAAGAAUGCUAAACUCAUAGUUAGCUUCAGUUUCUAGAGCAUCAGCUUCACCUGAUUGGUGUUAGCUUUUCAUCUUAACGGAAGCAGGAGUUAUGACUAUGUUUCUUGCUGUUUUCUUUUGUUACUUUUUGUGAGAGAACGCAUCUUGGAAGAUGUAUGUUUAUGUUUAGCUUUUCAUAGAACCACAAUGUGUUUGAGAAAACCAUAUCUGAUUUUGUAGCAAAUUACCAAAACUAAAAAUCCUGAAAUUUCCUUCUGGUUUGAAUCGUCAAAGUAGAUUUCUUUACUCGGGGUCAAUGAUGAAAAUUCACUCAAUUAUCACUAAUAUAUGAUUAUGACCUUUCUUGGAUAUUAUUUACUUUUCAUGUUGGUUUUGUUUGUGCAGGAGGAUUUCCUAACUGACCAUGUUCAGAAACCUGAAAUUACUGAUUAUGCUAUCAUAAUUUAAGUCAUCUUCGGGUGCAAUGGAGAGUGAUUGCCUUACGGGUUCUUUUCGGCCCUGCAUAGACAAUGAAAUCAUGCAUAAAGCUUGGAGAUUAAUUCGAUGACGCAUCCCUGUUGCUUAUCCAACUCAAUUGAGUCAAGCUGAUCUUUUACACCGAGUUCUACCCGGAUAACAUACAUGUGUAAAAUGCAUAGCAACAGUAUGUCAAAAAUUGCUUCCCGAUUUAGAGUGAGUAAAGUUAUUGGGGGCUUACAAGCUGUAAUCUUUGAUGUUUGAAUGCGCCUUUGAGUUUGACGUAUCAAACUUGGAUAUUGCGGAGUAAUGAAUUAUGUUCCCUAUUUUUAUUUUCUUUUUCCUUCGAAAGGUCAUUGAUCUUCUUGCUUCUUUUUUCUGGAUAAUCAACCAUCUGAGAGUUCUUACCUUCUAAUAAUCUCCUUAGAAAAUUUUAUUUAGUCACUUCAAUGCAAAAGACAUAUGGCCUGAUAUGCACUCGACUUAACAAUAAUGAUAUCACAGAACAAUCCAUAAGGAAAUAAUAUUGCUCAAGAAGAAACCCCGCAUGCUCUCUUUGACAAUUUUUCCUUUUUCUAAAAUUUAUUUGCAUUUCCAUCAUAUGGUGAAGGGUGUAUUUCUAAUUUUUGUUUUCGUACAUCCCAAAGCAGGAAAAGAAAUUAAAGGACUUUGCUAUAGAUAAGUUUAUUAGGAUAGAAAAGAACAGAGAUGUGAAAAAAUGAAAAGAAGAGAAAAUGAGAGGAUAGAUUUUGACUUUUUAAAUAGUUUAUGAGUGCACGCGGCACAUUCCGUUACUCAAUUGGAAGGAAUAUGUCAAUUGUCCACUUUUAUGCAAAAUUGGAUAGAUGAGGGAUCAAAUUUACUGUUUGAAAUAGAUUGAGAUCCAGUUCCGUGCAUGGGUCCGUGCAUGGGUAAUACAUUGAGGAUUACAAUUACAAUUCUCCCUUAAAUAAAUUCUCUCCUAAAAUUUUCUAAUAAGAAAUUCUUCUCUUCUAGGAUCUCCUGGUGAGAGUUUCUUUUCUCCUAAAUUAUUCUAAUAAGAGUUUUAUUCUCUUCUGAAUUUUUUCUUGUGAGAGUUUUUUAGGUUUUUAUCUUUGCUAAAUUUGAGAUUUUAUAGAUCUAAAAUCUAGUUUUCCAUAUCCGCAAUUUCUCCAUUAUUGUCAGAUCUAAAUUUCUCUUUGGAUUUGAAUCAGUUUUAAUCCAUUAUUGUUAGAUAUAAAUUUUUCUUUGGACUUGAAUCAGUUUUAAUCAGAUAUGAUUGUCAAUAGACAUGCGCUUAUAUAUUGGAAUACAGUGAUUCAUCCGGAUGGAAGAUAUAUAGAAGCAUUAAUGUUAUUUUUAUUUGUAUUAUUUUCUUAAAUCUGUUAUAUCUAUUGAUUUUAGAUCUACAUGUAUCUGUGUCAUAUUUGUUUGAUGUAUUUUCUACCAUUAGUACAGAUUUAUUUGAAUGAAAUGAUCUUUUUUAUAUAAAAAAAAUUUCAGCAUUACUAAGGUAAUUGUAUUGUGUUUAAUCAACCUGUUUAUUUGCUUUUUCGUCUUUCACAUCUACUAACAUUUAUCAUUGCAAUCAUAUUUUACUUGUAAUAACGUGUAAAACAAAACCAUCGUAGUUAGCAAUUACUCCACUUCAUAUUUUAGUCCUUUUCAUGGUUUUACCCAAUUACUCAUAGUCAACACUGGUAGAGUUAGGCAUUAAUUUUAAAAAAUGUAUCAAGUUGUAUUCCGUUUUCUCUAUUGUCCAAUAAAAUGUCCUCACUAAUUAGUUUUCUUUUUCCAAUUCACUAUUAUCUGCGUAAAUGAAAAUAAUAUUAUUCGUCGUGGAAUCACAUUUUUUUAAGUGUAUUUAUGUUCUAUCAAUAUUCAGUGACAAAUACAAAUUUACAUCCAUUUGUCUCUUCUUUCAUUGUUAAUAUUCAAUAUGCGUCGUUCAAUCUCCAAUGCGCAAAUUUGAUAAAAUUAUAUAUUAUUUUAUUUCUUAUAUUCACUGAAUUAUAAACUGCCAAAUUUCUAAUAUAUUCUCUAUGUCUUCCAAUUCAAGAAAACCAUACCAUUUCUCCGAAAUACAAAGUUAUAUAUCAAUUAACAAUGUUUAACAGACACCCCAUUUAUGCAUUUUCCCUUAAAGGCUCUUCACUUAUUACACCUUUUUUAAUCUUACACUUUACUGCAAUGGCAUGACACGUUAUGAUGUUUCAUACAAUGACCCAAUUCAUUUUUAUCAACAAGAUGUGGGCAACAACUAUGCACUCGUAACUUUUGCCUAGCAAAAUGAACAUUGUAUAAUGUAAAGGGCUAUAUUACCAUUAUAUAUAUAUAUAUAUAUAUAUAUAUAUAUAUGUGUGUGUGUGUGUGUGUGUGUGUGUGUGUGUGUGUGUAGAACUCAAAUUUUGAAUGAUUUCUAAUAGUGCCAACACCUGCAAUUAAAAUCUUAUAAAUUCUCUUAAACUCUCUUGACUCUUAUAGAUACUCUUAACAAGAUUUAUCAACUAAUGUUUUAUUUAUAACCUCCUACACUUAUCGUGUAAGAAAUCACUUACACAAAAAAUUACCAAAUAAAGUAUAAAUUCCUAAAUUACGAUAACUACUAAAAACCUGAUUCUAAAUAAAACUACUAAAUAAUUAGAUAAAAACUUGUAGUCUUGAUUCAUUUGCCAGCAAAUCAAUCAUAUAGUAUUUGUUAGCUACUAAUUUUUUCAACCCAUAUCAAGUCUUUUACGUGCCACCAAUAAUAGCUCUUUUAUCGGCAUUGACCUAUUACCCAAUUUGAACUUCAUCCCUGCAAGAAGAACGACGAUCUAAUUUGGACAACAAAGAGCUCGGGGUGCUUGGGGGGAACCAGAAGAGAUGGGACCUUAUGGCCCUGCUCGCCAACUCAGUUGUCUUAGAGUUAAUUGCAAGAAAAUCUCGUCCAAAACGUGCACAUCGUGUUUUGCUUUGCCAUGUAAUCUUCUUCUUCUUCUUCUUCUUCUUCUUCUUCUUUUUUUUUUUUUUUUGUUUUUGCUUUGCUAUCUAACCUGAUUGUUCUGACACCAGAAAUAUUUGUAAAUUUAUUUCUUGCCCAUUUGAACAAACUUGAAAAUAUAAAAAAUGACCUCUUUUAGGGUCCGUUUGGCUGGGAGUAAAAUGUUUUCCUUGGGAAAAUAUUUUCCAUGGAAGUAAUUUUUCAGGAAAAUCAUUUCCCUUUCAUCAUUUUCAGGUGUUUGGUUAGCCUAUUGAAAAUAUUUUUUUACUUCAUUUUCUGGUGUUUGUUUAACUUUUGAAAUAUUUUCCAACUUUGAAAUAUUUUCACUUUUACCUCUGUCUUUACUUUCUACACAUUAUAACCACAUACUUCUUCCCAUGCAAAAUAAAAAAAUAUUUAUCUCAUUUUUUAACUUUAAAAAAACUUAAAGAAAUGUAUAUAUGGAUAAAAAAUUUCUCCUUAAGCAAUAAACAAAUUGCUAACCAUUCAUUGUCAAAUAUCAAUCACACGAAUGCUUAUUGUGACAUAUAUCUUACAGUCUCACUGCUAAAAGUUUCUCUAGAAAAGAAUGCCCCUAUUAUACAUAAUUAAUUGCUAGAAUAAGGUGAGUAGGGUGAGGCCUUUUUUUUUAUUUUUUAUUUUGAGCAUACUAUGGGCCUGUUUGAAACCUUGAUUUUUUACCAAGUUUGUAUAAAACUAAUUUUUUAACAACUUUUGCUACAGGAAUCCCAAAAAACUUAUCAAAGUUUUUAACCUACACACUUCAAAAAUACAUAAAAAACUUUCCCUUCAACUUUUCUUCUUUUUCCUCCCCCACCCAACCCACCACGUCCUUCGUUGCCGGCCACCACCUCCACCACCGCUGCCGCCGGCUAGGGGUGGCAAUUUUCGACACGACCUGAAAACACGACACGAAUCUAACACGAAAUUAAUGGGUUUGGGUUGAGGUUUCGGGAAUUCAGGUCAGAAUCGGGUUGAACCCGAAAAGAAAACAGGUCGAUUUCGGGUCAACCCGUGGUGACCCGAUAUGACCCGUUUAUGAAUUAAAAAUAAUUUAAUAAACAUAAAAAUAAUUUUAUCUGACUAAGCUAAGUUAUUCUUUUUUUCAAACGCAUUAAUUACUUAAUCCUAAAUGAAUUUAUUUAAUUUGUGUGAAGUUGAAAUUAUUAUAUUUGAACAAAUAAUAUAUUAUAUUAUUUUUUACUUUUAUACUGUUUUAAUUUAUUUUAUAUUUUGUUUGGGAUAAAACACUUUUACGGUGUUUAAUUUAUUUUAGAUUUGGCUUGAAAUUAUUUAUUUAAAUUUUUAUUACUUGAUUAUGUAAUUAGUUUUGUGAGAAAUUAAUUUUAUUAGAAAUUACAGUGAUAAAUUAAUAAAUUAAAAUUAAAUUUCGGGUCGACCUGUCAACCUGAAAUUUUCGGGUUCGGGUCAAUAUACCUGACCCGUCACCGGUUGGCGGGUUGGGUUCGGGUCAAUAGAUUUUUUGACGGGUCGGGUCAAACCCAACCCGCCAACCUGAUUUGGACCCGAAUUGCCACCCCUACCGCCGGCGGUCACUAUUCCGACAGCUAGUUCUGGCCUUCCUCUUUUUUUUUUCUCUCUCCCUCACCCCCUCUGCUCCUCUCCCCUCCCCCUUUUGACCGAUCUAUUGGUGCUCUUUUUCUUUUUUUUUUUUUCUUUCUCUCUCCCCCCUCCCUUCUUCGCCUCUGCCUCCCCCACCACCCUCCCCUUCCCCCUUUGACCGAUCUGGUCGCUCGACCAGAUUGCAAAGGGGGAGAGGAAGGGGGUUGCGAUCUGGUCAGCUAGGGGAGGGGGAAGGUAGCGGGGGAGGGAAGGGGAGGGGUAGCGGGGGAAGGAAGGGGAAGGGGAGAGGGAGAGGGAAAAGAGGGAUGGCGGGGAAGGUAGAGAGAGGGGUGGUAGGGGAGGGAGAGGGGAAGAGAAAAAAAGCAAAAAAAAAAAAGAAAAAAGAAUCACUUGUUAGUUGCUGCCAUGGAAGUCUCGGGAGAGAGAGCAGGGGAGGGAAAGGGGAGAGAGAAGAAGUGGGGAGGGAGGAAGGAAAAGAAAAAAGAAAGAAAAAAAAAUUCAUCUUACAAACACCCAAAGUUUUUCUACGACUUCUACAGUGAUCUACAUUAAAGUUUUAUACAAACACCCAAAAAACUCACCUUUUAAAUAGUCCCGAUCUUUGAAAGUUUGACAGAUACCUUUGUAGACACCAAAAUUUUAAUAAUCCCUUCUUAUUAUUUAUUUCAUUUUUAUUUUUACCUUUUUAUUCUCAUUUUUAAGGAAAUUUUAUUUAUUUGUUUGGUUAUGCAGGAAAAGAAAGAGAAGGCAGAAAAGAAAAGAAAAAAUAAAAAAAAAGGGAGGAUGCCUCACGCGCGCGUGCGCAUCAUCUUCCUGGUUUCGUACAGAAGCCAGGAACAAGUCUCAGGAAUUGCAGCCGGCCAUUUGAUCCAUUUCCACUCGUUUCUAUUGCAUUUUUUUCCCUCCAAGCCCUUCGGUACAAUGCCAACUCAUCCUAGUUGGAAUCUAUCAAGAAAUAUCCAGAUCAAAAGCCACCCGAUGGCUUCAAAAAUGCCACAAAAAAAAACCCAUUUCAUCUGCACCAUUGAAGCAAGGGUUUGGGAGGUGUUUUGUGCCUAUAAAAGGCUCAUAAACGCAGCCCUAAAGAAAGAGAACAAGGGAUAGGUGGCUGAAGGAAGAAAAAAACAGAAAAGAUAGAGAAACCAGAGAGAAGAAAGGAAAGAAAAUUUUCUGGAAAAUUCGAUACCGGGUUGAUCGAGCAGCCAUCUUUGGAUGUCAUUUUCUCUUUCUUUUUAGUUAUUUUUUCAUAUUAAUACUCUAUGGAGGUAGAUAAAGAAUUUUCGUGUUGAAGGUCUCUGGAGAAAACAACUUUAAAGCCAUGAAAUCCGACGCCAAAGUUGGAAGAAAACCAGCCCUGGUUCCGUCGUAAUUUUGUUGAAAAUUUUUCAAUCCGCUUCCACUAGCAUUUUCCGGGUUCCAGUUUGUUUCUAGAGCUUCACAAGGUAUUUUUAUAACCUCUAUUAGUUUGAUUCGACACUAAACUAAGAUAUUUGCACGAGUUUAUGGGAUUUUGCAUUUUUGUUGAUUUUUGGUUGAGAUUCCUUAUGUCUUGGAAAGCUGUUCUUUUGAUGGUUUAAAAAUUAGCUAAAAAAUAGCGUAGAAGAUGACUUGAUGUUUGCUUUUGAUAGAGUGGCCGAAUAACUUGUAGUUUUUGGUGUUUCCAUGGUUGGUUCCGUCGAAGUCAGUUUCAUGGCUUCUUUCUUGCAUUAUUAUCAUAUUUGCGCCUAUUUGAUCUUCAAAAAGGCUUUGUAUCGGAGUUUUUGGUUGUGUUAAUGAGUGGUAUAUUCUGUUGGAUUUUAGUUCACAAAUCAAUGGUUUUGUUUGAGCUCAUGCAUGAUUUUCCACGUAUAAAGCUGAUACUUUGCGAAGAAAAGUUGCAGAAGAUGAAAUGAAGAAGAAAGCCUCGGUUCUGAUUUGCAUGAAACUUUUAAAAACUACAUUUCGACCCCUAAAUUUUCACCUAAUUUCACUAUGACCUAAAAACUUCUACAAAUGAACCAUCUUGACCCCUUUUAAAUUUUAAUCAUCUUUUACAUAUUUUAAACAUGUUUGUGGGCGAAAUAAUUCUGGGUUUUAAGACAUUAUUAGGAUUAAAUAAUUUUUUUAGUUGAUUUAUUAUCCUAUUAGGUUUUGGUAAAAUAAGUGUGGUUUUGGGUUAAGGGUUAUUGUUUGGGUUUUGGUUAUGAAUUUUAGUUAUUUUGAUUGGGUUUUUUUUCGUUUGGGUUUCUUCGAGCAAAACUAUGGGUUGGCUUGUGUAUUCUGCCUCGGACUUUCGCUGGGCUUGGGGAGGUUUCAGCCCAACUAAAGCAAAAGAAAAUGAAAGAUAGCCCAAUGGCCCAAUUCCUUAAGAAACACUGAGAAUUGCAAUAUGGUCCCUGUACUCUUGUAUAAUUUUGUUUUGGCCCUAAAAACUUUAGUAUUCUUUUAAUUAGGUCUUUAAUUUAAUUGUGCUUUGGUACCUAAAUUUUUUUCUUUCAUUUUGACCUCUAUUUUUUGUAAUAAUUGAAUUUAACCCCAAAAAUUUCUUAAUUUUUGUAAUUAGGUCCCUAAUAGUUUUGAUUUCUUAAAUAUAAUUUACUUUUCUUCUUUAAUUAUAGAUUAUACUUCAUUUAAAUACUUUGAUUGGUAGAUUUCAUGAUAAUUUCCAUUUAUUUAUAAUUAAAUUAGUGUCUUAAUCAUUUUGUUCGUUUUGGAGUAUAAGUAGGGCAAAUUUCACCCUAUUUAAUCACCACUUCACGAGAGGUAACCUCUUUUAUUAUUUUAAACUCUUUCAUGUGCUCCAAUGUGUUUUUAUGUGUAAUUGCAGGUUUUGAAUGUUUUUUCUUUUAAUUAGUCAUUCUUAUUCAUUUUUAAGUUUUAUUUGUUUUAUUUAAUUUUGAUGAUUAUCUGAGAGGCAUUAAAAUGCCAAGUUGUAACAGAUAGGUGCUCAAGACAUGUAUUUUGCUAGUUUAUGCAAUAGAUAGGUUCUAAUUUUUGUUUAAAAUGUAUUUAGUUAGAUGAAUAUAAUAAUUAGGUUAUUUUUUUUUUGAAUUCCCCUUUAGAUUGUAGUUAGGGUCCGAAUGUAAUAGUUAGGCUUUUAUUUGCAUUUAUUUGUUUGGGUGCUUGCAUGCUUGUGUGUUUAUGUGUUUACUCAUUUUCAUUUGGGUUUUGUAUCUAGAAAUUAUGAUUAUGUGUUAUGUGCUCUAUGUGCAUUAUGUGUUUAUUUGUUUUAAUUAUGCUUUAUAUGAUUUAUUUAAUUAUAAUAAAUGCAUGACGUCACCACAUCAGUCCAACGCUAAUUGUGACCUUCCUUCGCGAUUUCUCACUAGUCCCACGCUAGUGAGAACUUAUAGACAUGGGUUAGUUAUUUAGUCCAAUGCGAGACUCUUAGGGACCGUCCACGCACUAUAUCAUGUUUUUGUGACAAUCACUACAUUUCAUGCAUAUUUUCUACUUUUUAGAAUCCCUACCAUUUGGCAUGAUAUUUCCUCUAUAUGUAUAUUCCUUAUCCCUAUGUGCGAAAUAGAACAUUUAGACUUGCGUUUCAUUUAAGAAACUUAGAAAUAUGUGAGAUCAUUUGCUUGAUUAGAUUAGGAGAGCACCCCUUCAAAUAUGGGAAAUGAACAAGUAUAGCUACUUAGUCUUAGCACGCUCGUGUCUCCUCUAUAAGAAAAAAAAUUGAGUUACAAAUCUUAGUCCCCCGUACUCAUUAUCAUGCAUUCCUUUAGCUCAUGUAUAUUUGUAUAUUAUUAUUUUUCUUUCUUUUCUUCGAGUCUCAUCUUUUGCAUAUUCGUAACCUUUUCAAAGAGUCACUCUUGGGCGUCUCAAUUAAUGCGCUUUGCGCCAAUUAAAUUUUGAAGAGAUAUUUCGACCAUCCCGAUAUCCAUUAGGUCUAGAUUUGCAUAGAUAUAGUAACAUAUAAAUGUGAUAAGUUUUAUAGGUUAAAUUAAAAAAUUUUUAACUAAAUCACACAACUAACCUUGACUAGAUUGAAAGGGUGUCAUAGAUCAAAUCUUUGUCUUCUCUUUCUUCAAUCGUGACUCCUGAACUUUUUUCUUUUGUUUUCAAAGACGUGGAGUCGUUUAAAGAGGGUUUUACCUAUUUUUUUAUUAAAAAAAUAUUUUUGGGUGAUUUGGUACACCUUAACUCAAUAUCAAGUGACGACUCCUAUUUUUUUAAACUAUUAUUUUGGGCCAAAAUCGUCGCACUUUUAAAGUCCCAUGUUAGGCUCUUUUUCUGCAUUUAUUCUCUAAAAAUCAAAAACUCAUUUUUACUCAAAAUUAAUCAAAAAUUCAUUUUUUAUAACACGUAAUUUUAUUUUUCAAAAAAAUGGGGCACGACAACCUUUAUCAGGCGGGACACAUACGUUUAGAAAAACAACUUUAGUAAGUUUGGAAGCGAAGUUGUUUUUUAUAAGAUGAGUGAAAAUCUUUUACACAGUAAAAUAUUUUCAGUAAUUUUGUGCAACCAAACAUGGGAAAUUAGGAAAUUAUUUUUCUCGAAAAGAUUUUCAACCGAACACAAACAGACCCUUAAUGCAGUAUCAAUUACUUCUGGAAAGCAACUUUGCUAUAUAAUGCAACCACCGAUACCCCAAGCACUAUUUAUUUGACCAAAUAACAAUCUUUUUUCUACACAUGCUUCAUGUCAUGGAAAAGUCUGCAAUAACGAUCGUUAUGAUAACGAAACUGUUUUUACCUGAUAUAACAGGUAGAAACAAUUUUAGUGACCAUUUGAUUACCUAUUGGACUGGUCACCUAAAUAAGAUAGUACCUAAAAAUUUGAUUAGUAAGUUUUACAUAAAAAAUAGUAAGUUAACUCGAUAAAUUAGUAACUUUUAUGUCUCAACAAGUAAAUUGGAAUAAAUAUGGAACUUACUUUUUUUUUAAAAUAAAUUACUACUCGAUAUCCAAAACUUACUUUUUGGAGAGUAAGUUUAGUUCAAGUAAUACUAAGUUUUUAUAGAUUAAUAGUAAAUAUUGUUGAUAGAAUAGUAAAUUUAGUUAGUGGUCAAAACCUACUAGUUUGUGGUAUAAAUUUACUAUUUUACUUAAAAAACUUAUAUGAAACAAGUAUUAGGAAGUUCAUUUGAAGUAAUGCUAAAAUUUUUUAUUAAUGAUUAAAACUUAGUAUUAUAGUUAGUAAUUACUCAUAAUGUAAAUAUAUGAUACACAAUUGUACGUAACAUUUAUAAAUGUUAUAUUGUUUAAGCAUUUUAACUAUACUAUGAAAACUAUUUUUUUUUGCACAUGACCUUUAAAAUAUGUAAGAAUAAUUUGUCAUAUUAUAAAUUUUGAAUUAUUUUUGAAUUUGUGAAAGGUUAGAAAGUUUGGAUGACAAUAACAACAAAUCUUUCAAGUUAUAUAUAGAAUUGCACUUAUCUAUACAUCACAAUUUUCAUAUAUUAAUACCUAUGAAUAUAAUAAAAUGGUAAAGUUUUAAUAAAUUUAUUUACUGGGUCACAAGUAUAAAAGUUAAAGUUGUAUUAUAAUAACAACAAAUCUUUCGAGUUGCAUAUAAAAUAGCACUUACUUAUACAACACAAUUUUCAUAUAUUAAUGCCUAUGAAUUUAAUAAAAUGGUAAGAUUUUAAUAAAUUUAUUUUCUGGGUCACAAGUAUAAUAAUUAAUGUUGUGUUAACAUAGCAUAAUUUUUGAAAAUUAUAAUAAAAUUACCCAUAUGUUAAGUUUUGUGACUUUCAAACAUACUUUGUAUCAUUUACAUUAUGGAUUUGUAUCCAUAUUUUUCUAUCAAACUCUUUUUCAUUGGCAAAUGGUAUAUAAAUUAUUAUAAAAUGUCAUUUUAUAAUAAUCAUAAUUUUUUAUAGAUGAAUGUUAUGCAAACUGUUAAAAUUAUCAAUUCACAAAUGGCUAAAUCUUACUACUUAUGGCAUAUAUUAGUCUAAUUGACUAAAAAAAUACUGUAAUCAUGUAUACGUUGAUUGUUGAAUUGAAAUUUCGUUUAUUACUAGUACAAGUUCUUCUAAUCAAAGCAAAAUAAAAUCAAAUAUCUUUCCCUUUUGUAUGUAGUAGUUAUGUUUAGUAGAAAAUUAUUAAACCAUUUUUACAAUACAUAAUUUCUCCUAAAAUUAGUAAUAUUUUCCAUGACCUCUAACCUUAUCAAUAAUACUAACGACCGACAUGUAGAUAAUCUUAAAAGCAAAAGCCAUCAUUAUGACAAAAAAAGAAUAUUUUCAUGCUGAAUAAACAAAAUUGUAAUUCUAUAUAGAAUCGAAGAAAUUCAUCAUGAAUGAAAAUGAAUUGCAAAGUUAUUACAUUUCUAAUUUCAUAUGUAUCUAGAAUUUCACGCAGCAUUACUUUAGAGGAACUUUCCUUUUUCACACUAAGGAACCAAUCUCAAUCUCUUCGUCUCUUUUAUUUUUUCUUUAACCAUUAAAAUACUAAAUAAAUUUAAUUCCAUUUCAAGCUCUAGUUAAUUGUAUACUAAUAUUUUACACAACAAUCAAUUGAGCACCAAUUUCCUUUUUUUAAGUAGCUAUUAUUUAUUUUAUUACUUUGGUUAAAUAUUUACAUAUAAAAUAAUAACAAUAGAAUGCCAAUCCUCGGAUCAAUGAAACUUCAAUUAUUGUUAAUAAAAAUAAUUUUACAUUGAUAAAAAUUAGUCUACAGAAUGAAAAGUCAAUGGCAACAAUUGCUAAAAUAUAGCAAUUUUUAAUUGUGGGAAAAUAAACAACUAAGUUCCCAAAAUAUUUCACUUUUAUUGUUUAAAAAAUCUCAACUUGUUAACUAAAUUCAAAAUAAUUCUAUUGUCAAAAAUAUUUCUCCUCAAAUUAACUUUAAUGAUUAGAGAUGAGAUACAAAUAUGGCAAAAUAUCGCUCAUACGUGUGUCAUGGAUAUUUGAGACUUUUAGUAAAAAACUUUUUGUUGUUAAAAUAACAUUGUAUCAUAGUGUACUAAUUAUUUUAGAACCAUUUUUAUACGUGAACUAAAUUUAAUUUAAAUUAUACAAUAUAUUAUAUAUGCAUGUGAUUUUCAUUUAUAAUUGUUGGAUCCUAUUUUUUAUGAACAAUCUCCCAAGGAAAAAAGUUCAGAUCAUACUGAUUUUCUUAUAUUAAUUGUUAUACUAAUUUUGUCAUUUUUAUUGUUAUAUUAUUUCUCAUUUUGUUUGGGCUUUAGCUCUUAUUAUUUCUUGUGUCCCAGGUCUAAAUUCAUUAAAACUUUAUCAUCUUAUUAUAUUCAUAAGUGUUAAAUUAUAAAAAUUGUGAUAUAUAAAUAAGUGAUAUUCUAUAUAUAACUAGGAAGAUUUGUUAUUAUUGUUAUUCAAACUUUUCAGAAAUUGAAAAUGAUUAAAAACUUAUAAUACGACAAAAUUUUAUUACAUAUUUUACGAGACUAUGUGAAAAGUCAAAUUAUUUUUCAUAGUAUUUUAAAAUAUAUAAAUUCAAAAUUUUUUUAAAUUAUACUUAUAAUCAUGUAUUAUACAGGUAUAUUACGAGUACUUACUAACUAAGGUAAUAUGUAUUAAUCAUUAAUAAAACAUCUUAUCGUUAUUUCAAAUAAAUUUCCUAAUACUAGUUUGAAAUAUGUUUUAAAGUAAAAUAGUACAUGUGUCCCAUAAUCAAUAAGUUUUGAUUAUUAAUCAAAUUUACCAUAUUAUCAGUAAGAAUUACUAUUUAUGUAUAAAAACUUACUAUUACUUGAAUUAAACUUACUCUCUAAAAAGUAAGUUUGGGAUAUAAAGUAGUAAUUUAUUUAUUUAAAAAGUAAGUUUAAUAUUUAUUCAAAUUUACUUUUUGAAGUAUAAAAGUUACUAAUUUAUUACUGUUAACUUACUAUUUUAGAUGAAAAACUUACUUUCUUAUUUUUAAGUGUUAUUCUAUUUAGAUGGAUAGAUCCAUCAAGUAAUCAAAUGGUCGCUAAAAGUGCAACAACCUGUUAUAUCAGGUAAAAAAUUAUUUCGUUACCAUAAUUAUCGUUACUAAAACAUUGUACUCGUGUCAUAAUCAUCGAGCUUUACAUGAAUUGUUCAUCAAAAUUGGUCUCCCAACUUUGAUCUUAUCAUCUCAUUCUACCAUUUAAUGCGACAGCGAAGAAAGUGAAACUAUACCAUAAAUCUGCCCGAAUACCAUCAAAUAAAUAGCCUACAUGAAUGUGUUAUGUACUAUAAUCUUUUUCCUACUGCAGCUUGAUGAAAAUGGGAAAUAGUUUUACCCUUCAACUCGUAUAGACACUGAACAUACACAAUUUUUUUUUUUUUACUGCAGUUUCUACAUUGAUCUCCUUUUUCUAAUAUUAAGUAACACGAUGAAUUAAUCUCUUAAACUUCCAAAUUGCGGUAAUUACAGACAGAUGUUUGCCAACUUACAACUACAGCUUUGCCAAAUUUCUCAAGACAAAGAAAAAUAUUUUUAAGUAGGCAUCUAUGUGCAAUGUAGGUAUGAAACCAGAGAAUUCUAGUAGGGUUAAUUAGAAAAAUCCAGAACUAUUCAGGCGAUUCAUAGAAUUAUACUUAUUAAAACAUGUCCUAAUAAUUAUAGUGGAAGCAAUUUAAAAAAAAUUAAUGUUGGGAACAAAUUAAGCUAAAUAAAAUAAUCAUUAUCUUUGUCAUACCUAACAAUUUCAUUCAAAAAUAAUUAUUGUCUUUUUCAUACUUAACAAUUUCAAGCUAAUUAAAUCACAGGUGUUUUUCUAAAGAAAAAAAGAUAGCAAGACAAAAUUGUAUAGUUUAGCUUAUUAAACAUCCGGUUUUAGAUAUUUAUCAAACAUUAUAGAUAGAUUUAUUAUUAAGAUUCAGAUAUUCAUAUAUUUCUUUUUAUUAGUUAAAAUUUAGCAAAUUAAUUGUUUCAAUAUUCAGUUUCAGAAUUCAGAUUCAAUUUUAUCAAAUAGGACCUUAGUGUGAACUCUUAAUUGUAAUUGAAUUUGAUAUUUUAAAAUUGACAUUUAAUACAAACUUUUAUGUUUAACUAAAUUUGAUUUUUUCAAAGCCACAAUUAAUACAAAAUCUCAAAUUUAACUAAAUUUGAUUUCUUGUCAAUCACAUUUAGUACAAGACAAAGACAAAGAAACGGUAAAAUGGGAUUUAUAUUACUUACUCGAAAUGAACUUUUUUUGUUUUAAGAAAAAUACAAAGAAAUUAAUGUUAAAAGAUUAACUCCUUUUCAUAAAUUUUUGUCAAAAAGUACAUAGGGAAAUGGAUGGAUUGGGUGAUUCGAAGAAGGACGUGUAAGUGAGAGAUUUUGGUUUUAAGCUUCCCACUUACGCUAUUAAAAUAUAUAAAUUCAAAGUGUAUGUAAUUAGACUAAUUUUUGGGGAUUAUUUAUUCUAACAUGGUCGACAUUAUUGAUGAAAUAUGGCAUCAGCAGAACCUAACACUUUGGAAUUCAUCUGUCCCAGAAUUUCAAAUGGUAACAUUUUUCCUUAAAAUUGGAAUAUUUAUUUUAGGGAGGUAAGAGCAUCCGGUGGAAUUGAAAUAUGAAUUUAGCUAACGGGUGUGCAAUUGGCCCACGUUGAAAUAUCAGCUUGGCUAACCGGUGUUCUAAUGGCCUUCACUAAGUGGGGCGUUAGGCAUUAAUUUUUGAAAAAAUGUAAUUAAUUUGAAAAAUUAUAUAAAUUCAGGGGAUAUAAUAAUUGUGAUUGUGUGAAUUUAUAUGGUAAGUUAGAUGUAAUUUAGGUACAUUAACAAAUAUCCACCUAGAUGGGAACCUUCACAAAAAUCCCAAGGCAUUGUUGUUUUGAGAGAAGGGCAGGGAAAGGAAAGCAAACGGAAAUGGAGGGAUAAAGUUUUUAAAUUUUGGAUUAGUUUUUGAGGAGAGAAAGAAAAGGAUUUGGAGGGAAAGGGAGGGAUAAAAUUAGUUAUUUUUUAUCAACCUGUUUCAUGUCCAAAUGUGGGCAAAACAAAGGGAAACGACACCAAAUUAAUGAAAAUUUCAAAAUGUUCUAAAAACCUAUCAUGUAUUUAUAAAUUAAAUUUUAAAUUAUGGAAAAAAAUAUAAUUGAUGCAUGAUAGUUUUCUUUCCUUUCCUCUCGUAAUCCAAACAAAAUAGACAGACUUAGAUUUCUUCUACUCCCCUUUCUUUUCUUUUCCACUAGAGUCUUCUCCUUUCCUUUCCUUUCUUUCAAUCCAAACGGUGCCUAAAAGAAAAUACAAGAUGGUGCGACUAAAAGUUCAUACCAUUCCUAUGGACUGUCAAUUGCAUCAAAACACGAACUUUGUCUAUAUAAUGUGCACACUUUGUGACUGAUUUCUGUCGAGUGCUUAGCCCAUGAUUGUUAGUGUUGCUUGUUGGAUAGUUUACUCUCAGUAAAAUACUUUGAGAUUUUAGGCCAUAGUAUAUACUUAUGGCUUAUAAGGUGCAUUACUAAGACAAAAAAUACCAAUCAGCAACAACGGUAAUAUUGGGUUUAAAUGAUACAAUACACUAGGAUAAUGUGCAUUUUACCGACUUCAUGAAUGUGAAGAACUAAAUAUUAUGUAUUAAUUAUUUGUUUUUUUUUCCGGAUAUAUUUGGCUUCAAUUAGCGCUCAAACUCGAGAUCUCACAAGUAGACAAAGAAACCAUAUUUUUUAGGUAUGGUUUCUCUUUAUUGCUAGAGUUGGUAUCAAAUGUACUUAGGAGACUGAGAUACCUUAAACAACCUUAAGCCAGGGCUAUGAGCUAUAAAACAAGAAGAGGAUGAACUACUAGAAGAAGAAUAUGGGCAUAGUAGGGCUGUCAAAUAAAUUGAGUUGCUCGCAAAUAGUUUGAGUCAAAACUCGAUUCAAGUUAGGUCAACAUCGAACUCGAAUCGAGUUCGAGUUAACUGAGUUGAACUUGAGAUCAAAGAUACUUAACUCGUUAGUUCGCAAAUCGACUCGAUUUUAUAUAUUUAUAUUUAUAUUUUUUAUUUUAAUAGUAAAAUUACAUAUAUCCUUAAUAUUUUAUUAUUUGUUAAGAAACAUUACUAUUUUAUUCAUUUUUAAAAAUAUAAAAUAAUUAUUUUUUAUUUUUUUAAACUCAAGCUUGAGCCCUACAAUAAGAACUCGUUGAUUUUGAGUAGGGGUGGCAAUUCGGGUCCAAAUCAGGUUGGCGGGUCGGGUUCGGGUCAACCCGCCAGAAAAUCUGUUGACCCGAACCCGACCCGCCAAACCGUAACGGGUCAGGUAUGCUGACCCGAACCCGAAAAUUUCAGGUUGACGGGUUGACCCGAAAUGACCCGAAACUUAAUUUUAAUUUAUUAAUUUAUCACUGUAAUUUCUAAUAAAAUCAAUUUCUCACAAAACUAAUUACAUAAUCAAGUAAUAAAAAUUUAAAUAAGUAAUUUCAAACCAAAUCUAAAAUAAAUUAAACACCGUAAAAGUGUUUUAUCCCAAACAAAAUAUAAAAUAAAUUAAAACAGUAUAAAAGUAAAAAAUAAUAUAAUAUAUUAUUUGUCCAAAUAUAAUAAUUUCAACUUCACACAAAUUAAAUAAAGUCAUUUAUGAUUAAGUAAUUAAUGCCUUUGAAAAAAAGAAUAACUUAGGUUAGUUAGAUAAAAUUAUAUUUAUAUUUAUUAAAUUAUUUUUAAUUUGUAAACGGGUCAUAUCGGGUCAUAUCGGGUCACCACGGGUUGACCCGAAAUCGACCUGUUUUCUUUUCGGAUUCAUCGGGUCCAACCCGAUUCUGACCCGAAUUCCCAAAACCUCAACCCAAACCCAUUAAUUUCGUGUUAGGUUCGUGUCGUGUUUUCAGGUCGUGUCGAAAAUUGCCACCCCUAAUUUUGAGUUUGAUAAAAUUAAAUCAAAACUCAACUCAAUUAAACAAAAAUUUGACUUGACUCAACUCGUUUACAAACCUAGAUAUAGAGUUACAAUAGUGACAGGUUGUCGAUGCCUGUGCAAUAAUAAAACCUGCUCAAACUAAAAGUAAUUUCUGUAGAUAACGGUAAGCAGGGUCGAAUCCACAGGGACUGGGAGUAAUUGUUCCUUUUCAAAUUCACAGUGACAAAGGGGAGUGUUUUUAUAUCAGGGGUGACAACUCAACUAAAAGUAAAAUAAUAAAAAUAAAAUAGCCAACUAGAAAUUAAAAAAACACAAUUUACUAAAAUCAAAGGAUCUAGCCAAGGAAUAACUUCAGCAAUGGUUCACCUAAUUGAUCAUUGAUAAGCAAAGGCAAUUCCAAUUAUUUACUAAUAAAUAGGUUAUAACUGCCAAACAAGCGAUGGCAGUCAGCCCCUCCUUACUGUGUCGGUGAUCAAGGUACGCUCGUUAAUCACUUCUUUAAUUGGAAGAACAAUCCUAGGUACGCCCAUAAGAUUUAAUUUCCCAAUUGCCUUACGUAUUAGAGGAGCCCUAUUCUAAUCAAAUAACGCACUACCAGGGUUAUUUCAGAUUAGCCCGCGUAUCCCCCUGACACGAAUCUAAUCGUGCCAGUUGUCACUAUUUCAAGACAAUUAAACAAUUACGAAUUUAAUGUCCUAAUUGACAGUAGAUUAUCCAAUCAAUUAACCAUCCGGAUCCAAGACAAUCAACUAAUUAAAUGACCAUAAGCAUAGCAAUCAAGGAAUAUGCGAAUACUAAUAAAUAAAAGAAAAAAAUUAAAUUAAAUCGAUCUUACAAUUUGUAGGCGAGCCAGAGCCUUCGUUAUUUCUUGACUAGAAUGAGGAAAUUAGUUCAUAUUUGAUGAACUGAGUCCACACAACAUUGAAGAGAAGCCAGCGGCCAUGGUCCGUUGAAAUUUAGCAGAAUCCAACUCGUCUCAAUAUAUUGAAUGAAUAGAAAAGCUACAAAAGUUCAUAGUUUUCACUCCGUCUGGCGCACAACAAUGAAGAAAAGACUACUAAAAGCAACUAAGGAAGAAAAGUCCAAGCCAUGAAUGGCUAAACUCCUGACAUUCGUAAGUCCCAAGAGCUACUAAGAAGCCAAAGAAAAGUCAAAGGCAGCAAGUCUUCAUUGUUCCUGCCAUGCGUUUCCGUUCUUUGGUCAAAAGUCUAAAAAGGAAGAAGAAAUCUAAUUCUAAGCUAGAAGCUGCUGCCCCUUCUUCUGCACCAUUUUCUCUUAUAUCCUCCUGUUCCGUGCGGCGGCUCCAGGGAGAAGAACACUUUUGGCACAAUGACCGAAAAGGGCUCAUGUCCCUACUUCCCAAAAAUGCCCUUUCGAGCCUUCUAUUUAAUUAAUUUCCCGAUGAUUGUCAAAUUGGCCUUAAUUGUAGUAUUUUCAUUCUACUCCCUGAAAUAAAUGUAAAUUACGAAAAGUGAGUAGAAUCCAAUAAUUAAUUCACAUCGGGUCAGGUAAUAGAAAAAAUUAAUAAUAAAAUAAAUGAUAAAAUUGCACCCUAUCAAAUAGCUCUAUGAAUUACCGUAAGACAUAGAGAAUAGAGAGAUUGGUACAUAUCCUCUUAAUAGUUAAUUCCCCUCGAGGCAACUCUGGUAUGAUUGAGCUAAAGCUCAUUGUGCCUAGCAAAGGGGGUGUAAGUACAAUGUUUUACUCUUUUUUCCCCUUUUUUUUUUUCUUUUCUUCAAAAGAGGAUUAAUACUGGUUCAAUUUACAUGGGUUCAAAUACAAUGUUUUACUUGUUCAAAUGGUUCUGCAAAAUUUAUUUUUCAAAACCAAUUAUGGCAAUCCAAGCUUUACUAGUUUUGGGCCCUAGAUUCAUUUUUCUCAGUUACGUAGACCACUGAACAGAACUCUUUUUUUUUCCCUAUUAUUUCAUUUUUCUUUUGUGUGAAAUUUUGACCACGAAAUAUAACUAGAAGCAUCUGGACCUGUCCAUAUUAAACACAUCUAUAGGAUGGAUUACUGAAUAAAAACGAGCUUACGUAUUUUGCUAAUGUGCCUUCUCUACAAAGUGGCACAAUUCAAAGGAAUUCUUACGCAGGUAGACAAACUAAAUUAAAAAAGAAAAAUUGAAAAGGGAGAUAUACCACCUUUUUAUUAAUUUUUUUAAUUUGGUAAGUCUUUUCUUUUUGAAAGGUUAGUUUGGUAAAUCAACUCAAGUAAUGAAGUAACAAAAGUAUAAGCUUUAGGGGUUAUAUAUUGAAAUCAGCAAAUUUACUGAAGAAAAAUAGGUCCUUGUGAGUACGAAGCAACCACUUGCUUCAGAAUCACAAUAAAAUCACAAAUAUUCAUUACUCACAAAUAAUAUUUAUUUCUGUUGUUCAACCUUUACAAACAUUGCUUGUGAAACUAACAAGCAUUAGCUUUAUAAUGACAUAGCACUUAAUAGCACACAUUUAUUCGUGCAUCCAUUUUAGAAGACACCAUAGCAACUUCAAACACGCUAAAUACUUAGAAGAUAUGUCUCUCUCUCUCUCUCUCUCUCUCUCUCUCUCUCUCUCUCUAUAUAUAUAUAUAUAUAGAUGGUUCAAGCAUUUUUGAUGUGAUGAGAUUCAAUGUCUUCAACCAUGUGAAGGAAAAAGUUGAGCAAGGUUCCUGGAUGUGGGGUAUCUUCCUUCAGCUUCUCAUAGUCGAGAGUCCAUGUAAUCAAACUUUCUUUGUCACCAAGAACAUCAACAUGGUAUAUGAUAGUGAAGGUCUUGUACAGCUCCAUGAGAUCUCCUUCAAUCAUCUUAAAUACGAUUGAUUUCUUUUCUUCAUUUAUGUCUUGAAUAAUCUGCUUUGCCACCCUAUCUUUCCCGUCUGUAAAAAUGAAAAGUAAAUCAAUUACAGACUCUCCAAUUCCUAGUCAACAUGCUGGUAAUCCAAAAACAAGGUUUGCGGAAUUCUUUCUUUUCGGUUUUUAGGGAUAGACAAUACUAUUCACACAACCAGGGAAGAAUUCUCGUUGUGAAACAUCUGGUAUAUCGCAUAAAAAACUUGAGAAAAGCAAAAGAAAAAAAAUUCUGUAGUAUUAAUUAAUUGAAUUCUUUACGAAGAUGGACUUCCUUAAUUAACCUCUGUAGUUUCCACAAUCAGAUUAUUGUCUUCGUAUAAAUACUAAUAAUAAUAUUAAUAAUACGGUUAAUAGUAAUAGAUCUAGUCCGUUUUUCAUUAAAACUUUUCCCGAGGCAGAUAUUAAGCUUUUAUCCUUUCUUUUUCCUGGCAAAUAAGUUAGAUAACUAAUUGUGUGCCAGUUCAAAGCAGGGAAAAACGGAUGGAGAGAGUUUAAAUCAACUUAGUCCAGAAGCUGACCAACACGCAACAAAAGCUAAAUGAAUAAAGGAAAAACAAGAAAAACUGCGGGGAAGAAAGAGCUUUGAAUAUUGAUUCC
rnacentral:lncRNA from 1 species